UAAUAGUGAACUUUUGUUUAGAAGGUGAUGUGGUUGGUUACUUUAUUUGUUGAAAAUGCUUAAGUGCCGGUGACUUUAAAAGUAAACUUUUAUUUCGAAGGUGAUGUUGUUGGUUACUUUAUUUGUUGAAAAUGCUUAGGUGUCGGUGACUUUAAUAGUGAAUUAGUGUUUAGAAGGUGAUGUUAUUGUUGACUUUACUUGUUGAAAAUGCUUAACUUUUGGUGACUUUAGUAGUGAAUUAGUUUCGUUGGUGCCUUUGUUAGUUGAAAAACCUUAAGUUUUGGUGACUUUAAUAGUGAACUAGCAUUUACGAGGUGAUGUUGUUGGUGACUUUAUUUGUUGAAAAUGCUUAAGUUCCGGUGACUUUGAUAGUGAAAUUUUGUUUAGAAGGUGAUGUGGUUGGUUACUUUAUUUGUUGAAAAUGCUUAAGUGCCGGUGAUUUUAAAAGUGAACUGUUGUUUAGAAGGUGGUGUUGUUGGUUACUUUAUUUGUUGAAAAUUCUUAAGUGGCGGUGACUUUAAUAAUGAAUUAGUGUUUAGAAGGUGAUGUUGUGGGUGUCUUUAUUUGUUGAAAAUGCUUAAGUGCCGGUGACUUUAAUAGUCAAUUAGUUUCGUUGGUGCCUUUGUUAGUUGAACAAGCUUAAGUUUUGGUGACUUUAAUAGUGAAGUAGUGUUUAGAAGGUGAUGUUGUUGGUGACUUUAUUUGUUGAAAAUGCUUAAGUUUUGGUGACUUUAAUAGUGAAUUAGUGUUUAGGAGGUGAUGUGGUUGGUG
rnacentral:lncRNA from 1 species